UACGGGGGGGGCAAGCGUUGUUCGGAAUUACUGGGCGUAAAGGGCUCGUAGGUGGCCAACUAAGUCAGACGUGAAAUCCCCAGGCUCAACUUGGGAACUGCGUCUGAUACUGGAUGGCUUGAAUUCGGGAGAGGGAUGCAGAAUUCCAGGUGUAGCGGUGAAAUGCGUAGAUAUCUGGAGGAAUACCGGUGGCGAAGGCGGCAUCCUGGACCGGCAUUGACGCUGAGGCGCGAAAGCUAGGGGAGCGAACAGG
rnacentral:rRNA from 1 species